CCGAGUUUACAACUCCCAAACCCCUGUGAACAUACCACUUGUUGCCUCGGCGGAUCAGCCCGCUCCCGGUAAAAACGGGACGGCCCGCCCAGAGGACCCCUAAACUCUGUUUCUAUAUGUAACUUCUGAGUAAAACCAUAAAUAAAUCA
rnacentral:misc_RNA from 1 species